rnacentral:rRNA from 1 species
AUUGAACGCUGGCGGCAUGCUUUACACAUGCAAGUCGAACGGUAACAGGUUAAGCUGACGAGUGGCGAACGGGUGAGUAAUGCAUCGGAGCGUGCCCGGUCGUGGGGGAUAACACUUCGAAAGAAGUGCUAAUACCGCAUACGAUCUGAGGAUGAAAGCGGGGGACCGUAAGGCCUCGCGCGAUCGGAGCGGCCGAUGUCAGAUUAGGUAGUUGGUGGGGUAAGGGCUCACCAAGCCGACGAUCUGUAGCUGGUCUGAGAGAACGACCAGCCACACUGGGACUGAGACACGGCCCAGACUCCUACGGGAGGCAGCAGUGGGGAAUUUUGGACAAUGGGCGCAAGCCUGAUCCAGCAAUGCCGCGUGCAGGAAGAAGGCCUUCGGGUUGUAAACUGCUUUUGUACGGAGCGAAAAGGCUCUCUCUAAUACAGGGGGCUCAUGACGGUACCGUAAGAAUAAGCACCGGCUAACUACGUGCCAGCCGCCGCGGUAA